rnacentral:misc_RNA from 1 species
CUUGAAGUAUGACCCUUCCCAUAUUGAGGAUUUGCUUGAGUUUUUGUUGAAUUCUGAGCUGUGGCAGGAGGCGGCAGAGAGGUUAGCUGGUGUAUUAAAUGAUGAUCGGUUUUAUUCUAUUAAAGGGAAGACUAAACAUAGGCUUUGGUUGGAGCUAUGUGACUUGUUAACACAGCAUGCUACUGAAAUAUCAGGUUUGAAUGUGGAUGCGAUAAUUAGAGGUGGGAUUAAGAAGUUUACUGAUGAGGUUGGGAGGCUUUGGACAUCGUUGGCGGAUUAUUACAUUAGGAGGAAGUUGGUUGAGAAGGCAAGAGAUAUUUUCGAAGAAGGGAUGACAACUGUGGUGACUGUUAGGGAUUUUAGUGUUAUCUUUGAUGCAUACUCCCAGUUUGAGGAGAGUAUGCUUGCCUUGAAAAUGGAGGAGAUGAGUGAUAGUGAGGUGGAGGAUGAAGGGACUAACGGUGAGGUUGGGGCAGAGGAAGAUGUGGAUGAGGAGGAUGAUAGGUUGAAUGUGGCAAAAUUGGAGAAGAAGCUUAAAGAGUUUUGGCUAAAUGAUGAUAAGGAUAUUGAC